rnacentral:rRNA from 1 species
CCUACGGGAGGCAGCAGUAAGGAAUAUUGGUCAAUGGGCGGAAGCCUGAACCAGCCAUGCCGCGUGCAGGAAGACGGCCCUACGGGUUGUAAACUGCUUUUGUACCGGAAUAAACCUUGAUAUGUAUAUCAAGCUGAAUGUACGGUAAGAAUAAGGAUCGGCUAACUCCGUGCCAGCAGCCGCGGUAAUACGGAGGAUCCAAGCGUUAUCCGGAUUUAUUGGGUUUAAAGGGUGCGUAGGUGGCUUAUUAAGUCAGGGGUGAAAGACGGUAGCUUAACUAUCGCAGUGCCUUUGAUACUGAUGAGCUUGAAUCCACUAGAGGUAGGCGGAAUGUGACAAGUAGCGGUGAAAUGCAUAGAUAUGUCACAGAACACCAAUUGCGAAGGCAGCUUACUAUGGUGGUAUUGACACUGAGGCACGAAAGCGUGGGGAUCAAACAGGAUUAGAUACCCUGGUAGUCCACGCCCUAAACGAUGAAUACUCGAUGUUGGCGAUAUACGGUCAGCGUCUAAGCGAAAGCGUUAAGUAUUCCACCUGGGGAGUACGCCGCAAGGGUUGAAACUCAAAUUGAAUUGACGG